rnacentral:rRNA from 1 species
UGUAGUCAUAUGCUUGUCUCAAAGAUUAAGCCAUGCAUGUCUAAGUAUAAGCAAUUAUACAGCGAAACUGCGAAUGGCUCAUUAAAUCAGUUAUCGUUUAUUUGAUAGUACCUUACUACAUGGAUAACCGUGGUAAUUCUAGAGCUAAUACAUGCUAAAAAUCCCGACUUCGGAAGGGAUGUAUUUAUUAGAUUAAAAACCAAUGCCCUUCGGGGCUCUCUGGUGAUUCAUAAUAACUUCUCGAAUCGCACGGCCUUGCGCCGGCGAUGGUUCAUUCAAAUUUCUGCCAUCAACUUUCGACGGCUGGGUCUUGGCCAGCCAUGGUGACAACGGGUAACGGAGGGUUAGGGCUCGACCCCGGAGAAGGAGCCUGAGAAACGGCUACUACAUCCAAGGAAGGCAGCAGGCGCGCAAAUUACCCAAUCCCGACUCGGGGAGGUAGUGACAAUAAAUACUGAUACAGGGCUCUUUUGGGUCUUGUAAUUGGAAUGAGUACAAUUUAAAUCCCUUAACGAGGAACAAUUGGAGGGCAAGUCUGGUAAUCGAAUCCCGC